rnacentral:rRNA from 1 species
CCCUGGUAGUCCACGCCGUAAACGAUGUCGACUUGGAGGUUGUGCCCUUGAGGCGUGGCUUCCGGAGCUAACGCGUUAAGUCGACCGCCUGGGGAGUACGGCCGCAAGGUUAAAACUCAAAUGAAUUGACGGGGGCCCGCACAAGCGGUGGAGCAUGUGGUUUAAUUCGAUGCAACGCGAAGAACCUUACCUGGUCUUGACAUCCACAGAACUUUCCAGAGAUGGAUUGGUGCCUUCGGGAACUGUGAGACAGGUGCUGCAUGGCUGUCGUCAGCUCGUGUUGUGAAAUGUUGGGUUAAGUCCCGCAACGAGCGCAACCCUUAUCCUUUGUUGCCAGCGGUCCGGCCGGGAACUCAAAGGAGACUGCCAGUGAUAAACUGGAGGAAGGUGGGGAUGACGUCAAGUCAUCAUGGCCCUUACGACCAGGGCUACACACGUGCUACAAUGGCGCAUACAAAGAGAAGCGACCUCGCGAGAGCAAGCGGACCUCAUAAAGUGCGUCGUAGUCCGGAUUGGAGUCUGCAACUCGACUCCAUGAAGUCGGAAUCGCUAGUAAUCGUGGAUCAGAAUGCCAC